GAAAAAAUUAUAUUGAACCUUCAUAUAUCCUCGAUAAUAUGGAUCGAGAGUCUCUACCGGGUAACCGUAAAUAACCUGACUAUGAAGGCAGAAUAAAGUUCG
rnacentral:ncRNA from 1 species